rnacentral:rRNA from 1 species
AGGACGAACGCUGGCGGCGUGCUUAACACAUGCAAGUCGAGCGGAAAGGCCCUUCGGGGUACUCGAGCGGCGAACGGGUGAGUAACACGUGGGCAACCUGCCCUUAGCUCUGGGAUAGCUCCGGGAAACCGGAAUUAAUACCGGAUAUGACAUAGGCCGACAUCGGCCGUGGUGGAAAGUUUUUCGGCUAGGGAUGGACUCGCGGCCUAUCAGCUAGUUGGUGGGGUAAUGGCCUACCAAGGCGACGACGGGUAGCCGGCCUGAGAGGGCGACCGGCCACACUGGGACUGAGACACGGCCCAGACUCCUACGGGAGGCAGCAGUGGGAAUCUUGCGCAAUGGGCGAAAGCCUGACGCAGCGACGCCGCGUGGGGAUGAAGGCCUUCGGGUUGUAAACCCCUUCAGCAGGGACGAAGCGAAAGUGACGGUACCUGCAGAAGAAGCGCCGGCUAACUACGCGCCAGCAGCCGC